AUUGAACGCUGGCGGCAUGCCUUACACAUGCAAGUCGAACGGUAACGGGCCUUCGGGUGCCGACGAGUGGCGAACGGGUGAGUAAUACAUCGGAACGUGCCCGAUCGUGGGGGAUAACGAGGCGAAAGCUUUGCUAAUACCGCAUACGAUCUACGGAUGAAAGCAGGGGACCGCAAGGCCUUGCGCGGACGGAGCGGCCGAUGGGAGAUUAGGUAGUUGGUGGGAUAAAAGCUUACCAAGCCGACGAUCUGUAGCUGGUCUGAGAGGAAGAUCGGCCACAACGGGGGUGAGACCAGGCCCCGACUUCUAAGGGAAGGCGCAGGGGGGAAUUUUGGACAAUGGGCGCAAGCCUGAUCCAGCCAUGCCGCGUGCAGGAUGAAGGCCUUCGGGUUGUAAACUGCUUUUGUACGGAACGAAAAGCCUUCUUUUAAUACAGGAGGGUCAUGACGGUACCGUAAGAAUAAGCACCGGCUAACUACGUG
rnacentral:rRNA from 1 species